rnacentral:lncRNA from 1 species
UAUGCUGCAUGCAGGAUUAUGCACCCUAAAAUGCACGCUGCAUGCAGCACCGUGCACCCCAGGACACAUGCCACAUGCAGGGCUGUAUGUGCCAAUAUGCGCUGCUGCAUGCAGGGCUGCGCACCUCAAGAUUCUCGCUGCAUGCAGGGCUGCAUGUGCCAAGAUGCACAUCACAUGCAGCACUGCAUGCACCAAGAUGCAUGCUGCACGCAGGGCUGCACAUCCCAAGAUACACACCGCAUGCAGGGCUGCAUGUGCCAAGAUGAACAUCACAUGCAGCAUUGCAUGUGCCAAGACGCAUGCUGCAUGAAGGGCUACACGCCCCAAGAUGAACAUCACAUGCAGCAUUGCAUGCACCAAGAUGCAUGCUGCAUGCAGGGCUGCACGUCCCAAGACGCACACCACAUGCAGGAUUGCAUGUGCCAAGAUGCACGCUACAUGCAGGGCUGCACAUCCCAAGAUGCACACCACAUGCAGGAUUGGAUGUGCCAAGAUGCAUGCUGCAUGCAGGGCUGCACAUCCCAAAAUGCACACCGCAUGCAGGAUUGCAUGCGCCAAGAUGCAUGCUGCACACAGGGCUGCACAUCCCAAGAUACACACCGCAUGCAGGGCUGCAUGUGCCAAGAUGAACUGCUGCAUGCAGGGCUGCACAUCUCAAGACGCAUGCUGCAUGCAGGGCUGCAUGCCCCAAGAUAAACACCGCAUGCAGGAUUGCAUGUGCCAAGAUGCACGCCACAUACAGCACUGCACGUGCCAAGAUGCGCGCUGCAUGCAGGGCUGCGCACCCCACGACGCACACAGCACAUGCAGGAUUGCAGGUGCCAAUACGCACACCGCAUGCAGCACUGCAUGCGCCAACAGGCACUGCUGCACGCCCCAAGAUGCACGCUGCAUGCAGAGGUGCAUGCUGCAGACGGGACUGUACACCCCAAGAUGCACACAGGGCUGCAUGCACCGAGGCACAGACAGCACGUGUGCACCUCAGAGCACCCAAUCCCACCAGGCAUGGCGUC